UUACUCCUAAAGAAUUCAAACUCGCAUGUCGUAACGAAUUUUGCCGUCGGACAUAGACACGUGUCAGACAACUGGACCAAAGUUCAUAGUUAAUUUUAGACCCGCGUCGCAUGGAAUCAACCAACCCGUUAUCCCAUUUUACGAAACCUCAUUUCAUCACAUAAUCAGAAAAGAAGGGACGCAAAAUGGACUUGAAGAUCAGAGACGUAAAAGCUGUAACCGCUAAUUUUUUGAAUCAAAUUUUCACUUUACUCCGUGUAAUUAGUUUAUGAUCUUAACUAAUUCUCCUUGUCAAUUUACUCUCAAUCUACCUUGACCGCGAGUAUGUGUUCCAAGCAAACGCGUGUACCAGAGAUGAAUGUGGCUUGAAUGUUGAAAUGUAUGAUCUACAUUUGGAUUAGGACUACCUUUUAAACAGCUUGUAUGUUUUAAUGCGGUGAAUGCAUUGAAUUUUCUGCUAUUUGGAAAAAAACAUUAAAAUGUCCAGUUUGUAGCAUCUAUCUUCUGAAGUCUGGUGUUAGCCAGCUGACGUAAAGCAUUGGCUCAAUGAAGCCUGAUGGUGCAUUUGUAUGUUGAAAUUAUGGCUCCAUAAAUCAUACGUGGCCUCCAUGAGAACCCUACUUGAGAAUAAAUGGAAUGGUAAACUUUGUUCCAAAAUUUAUUUGUCACAGUGACGUCUCGUACAUGGAGAAUGAAGAGACCCUCACGGUUGAUAUUACAGUGUAUCAUAAGAAAAACAGCUACUGGUUAUAUGCAUGUGUAUUUAAAAGUACAAACACAGAGGUUAUGCAGCAGAGAGUUUGGGUGUAAAGAAGAGAUUUCCUGUGUGCUCUGAUCUGCUGUCUCAUUUACCAUGUAUAAUCUUCAUGAGUUUAUUUUUAAUUUGUCUAUGUACUUUGCUUCCACGAUAUCUUCUCCAGAAAUGAAGUCAAGGAAAUCGCUGAAGCUUCCUUCUUUGUAGGACAAGAUAUGUUGUUCAUUGACAAGCUCUGAUGCAGGUCUAACUUUUUUACCUAAAGCUAGACUAUGAAGACUGGCAAUCGAAAUGCGUUUUCUUUCUGAGUUAACUGUUGCUCGGUGGAGAACGCUUUUGUAUCUGCCAUUGCUCAAUACUUCCAUCUGAUCUCCCAACUGAACAAUGAGAGCUCCUUCAGUGAGUGGAACUGAAUGCCACUUCUCAUCUCGAUCCAUGAUUUGCAAGCCUUGAUGAUUUUGUAGAAUGAUGGUUAACAUACCAUAAUCUGUGUGUGGUGGCAAUCCUAAUGUAAGAUCUGGCUCAGGACAUGCUGGAUAGCAAUUAACUGCCAUGACCUGGGAGCCUUCCACAACGUCUUCAUUGCGUGAUUGCAGGUGACAUGGACAGGACACGACAAGUAGUACCUGGAAGAAACCAAAUUCCUUGCAAGCCAGGUGUACUUGCUGGAUUAUCUGAGGCCGGUGAAGAGGGUGUUGCAGAUAAGCUAGAUCCACAAUUGGCAAGCAUGUGUUACACAAGGUUCCGUUUGGCCGUAGGGUUGGCGGAAGGAUGUAACGCUUGGGAACAUAGGUUAGUCCCUCUUCAUUAAGUGUCAUGGCACUAGUAAAUGAACCAUUUGGUGAAGCUGAGCUCUCUCUCAUUUUUCCCAACUAUAUCGUGCUCUUUUUCCUUUAAAGGUUAUGGCUUUAACUCCCUAUUUAUAAGCAGGAAAUAUGAAGA